rnacentral:misc_RNA from 1 species
GAGUGAGGGCCCCUCGGGGUCCAACCUCCCACCCGUGUUUAACGAACCUUGUUGCUUCGGCGAGCCCGCCUCACGGCCGCCGGGGGGCAUCUGCCCCCGGGCCCGCGCCCGCCGAAGCCACCUGUGAACUCGUCUGAAGUAUGUAGUCUGAGACAAUUAUUAAAUUAAUUAAAACUUUCAACAACGGAUCUCUUGGUUCC